rnacentral:rRNA from 1 species
AGUAGCAAUACUAUAGUAGGCGAACGGGUGAGUAUAAUGUGGGUAUCUGCCUUUUGGUCUGGAAUAACACGGGGAAACUUGUGCUAAUACUAGAUAAGCCUUUACAGGGAAAGCUUUAGCGCCAAUAGAUGAGCUCACACUUGAUUAACUAGUUGGUAGGGUAAUGGCCUACCAAGGUUGCGAUCAAUAGCUGAUCUGAGAGGAUGAUCAGCCACAUUGGGACUGAGACACGGCCCAGACUCCUACGGGAGGCAGCAGUGGGGAAUCUUGCACAAUGGGGGAAACCCUGAUGCAGCGAUGUCGCGUGAGUGAAGAAGGCCUUUGGGUUGUAAAGCUCUUUCGUCGGGGAAGAAAAUGACUGUACCCGAAUAAGAAGGUCCGGCUAACUUCGUGCCAGCAGCCGCGGUAAUACGAAGGGACCUAGCGUAGUUCGGAAUUACUGGGCUUAAAGAGCACGUAGGUGGUUAAAAAAGUUGGUGGUGAAAUCCCAAGGCUUAACCUUGGAACUGCCACCAAAACUUUUUAACUAGAGUGUGAUAGAGGUAAGCGGAAUUUCUAGUGUAGAGGUGAAAUUCGUAGAUAUUAGAAAGAACAUCAAUUGCGAAGGCAGCUUUCUGGAUCAUUACUGACACUGAGGUGCGAAAGCAUGGGUAGCGAAGAGGAUUAGAUACCCUCGUAGUCCAUGCUGUAAACGAUGUGU